rnacentral:rRNA from 1 species
AACGAACGCUGGCGGCAUGCCUAACACAUGCAAGUCGAACGAGACCUUCGGGUCUAGUGGCGCACGGGUGCGUAACGCGUGGGAACCUGCCCUUAGGUUCGGAAUAACUCCCCGAAAGGGGUGCUAAUACCGGAUAAUGUCUUCGGACCAAAGAUUUAUCGCCUUUGGAUGGGCCCGCGUUGGAUUAGCUAGUUGGUAGGGUAAAAGCCUACCAAGGCGACGAUCCAUAGCUGGUCUGAGAGGAUGAUCAGCCACACUGGGACUGAGACACGGCCCAGACUCCUCCGGGAAGCAGCAGUGGGGAAUAUUGGACAAUGGGCGAAAGCCUGAUCCAGCAAUGCCGCGUGAGUGAUGAAGGCCUUAGGGUUGUAAAGCUCUUUUACCCGGGAUGAUAAUGACAGUACCGGGAGAAUAAGCUCCGGCUAACUCCGUG